UCGGGAAUAUUGCGCAAUGGAGGAAACUCUGACGCAGUGACGCCGCGUGCAGGAAGAAGGUUUUCGGAUUGUAAACUGCUUUAGACAGGGAAGAACAAAGACAGUACCUGUAGAAUAAGCUCCGGCUAACUACGUGCCAGCAGCCGCGGUAAUACGUAGGGAGCAAGCGUUAUCCGGAUUUAUUGGGUGUAAAGGGUGCGUAGACGGAGAAGCAAGUUAGUUGUGAAAUCCCUCGGCUUAACUGAGGAACUGCAACUAAACUACUUCCCUUGAGUGCUGGAGAGGAAAGUGGAAUUCCUAGUGUAGCGGUGAAAUGCGUAGAUAUUAGGAGGAACACCAGUGGCGAAGGCGACUUUCUGGACAGUAACUGACGUUGAGGCACGAAAGUGUGGGGAGCAAACAGGAUUAGAUACC
rnacentral:rRNA from 1 species